GACGAACGCUGGCGGCGUGCUUAACACAUGCAAGUCGAACGGAAAGGCCCUGCUUUUGUGGGGUGCCCGAGUGGCGAACGGGUGAGUAACACGUGAGUAACCUGCCCUUGACUUUGGGAUAACUUCAGGAAACCGGGGCUAAUACCGGAUAGGAGCUCCUGCUGCAUGGUGGGGGUUGGAAAGUUUCGGCGGUUGGGGAUGGACUCGCGGCUUAUCAGCUUGUUGGUGGGGUAGUGGCUUACCAAGGCUUUGACGGGUAGCCGGCCUGAGAGGGUGACCGGCCACAUUGGGACUGAGAUACGGCCCAGACUCCUACGGGAGGCAGCAGUGGGGAAUAUUGCACAAUGGGCGGAAGCCUGAUGCAGCAACGCCGCGUGCGGGAUGACGGCCUUCGGGUUGUAAACCGCUUUCGCCUGUGACGAAGCGUGAGUGACGGUAAUGGGUAAAGAAGCACCGGCUAACUACGUGCCAGCAGCCGCGGUGAUACGUAGGGUGCGAGCGUUGUCCGGAUUUAUUGGGCGUAAAGGGCUCGUAGGUGGUUGAUCGCGUCGGAAGUGUAAUCUUGGGGCUUAACCCUGAGCGUGCUUUCGAUACGGGUUGACUUGAGGAAGGUAGGGGAGAAUGGAAUUCCUGGUGGAGCGGUGGAAUGCGCAGAUAUCAGGAGGAACACCAGUGGCGAAGGCGGUUCUCUGGGCCUUUCCUGACGCUGAGGAGCGAAAGCGUGGGGAGCGAACAGGCUUAGAUACCCUGGUAGUCCACGCUGUAAACGGUGGGUACUAGGUGUGGGGUCCAUUCCACGGGUUCCGUGCCGUAGCUAACGCUUUAAGUACCCCGCCUGGGGAGUACGGCCGCAAGGCUAAAACUCAAAGGAAUUGACGGGGCCCCGCAUAAGCGGCGGAGCAUGCGGAUUAAUUCGAUGCAACGCGUAGAACCUUACCUGGGUUUGACAUGGAUCGGGAGCGCUCAGAGAUGGGUGUGCCUCUUUUGGGGUCGGUUCACAGGUGGUGCAUGGCUGUCGUCAGCUCGUGUCGUGAGAUGUUGGGUUAAGUCCCGCAACGAGCGCAACCCUUGUUCACUGUUGCCAGCACGUUAUGGUGGGGACUCAGUGGAGACCGCCGGGGUCAACUCGGAGGAAGGUGGGGAUGACGUCAAGUCAUCAUGCCCCUUAUGUCCAGGGCUUCACGCAUGCUACAAUGGCUGGUACAGAGAGUGGCGAGCCUGUGAGGGUGAGCGAAUCUCGGAAAGCCGGCCUCAGUUCGGAUUGGGGUCUGCAACUCGACCUCAUGAAGUCGGAGUCGCUAGUAAUCGCAGAUCAGCAACGCUGCGGUGAAUACGUUCCCGGGGCU
rnacentral:rRNA from 1 species